rnacentral:sRNA from 1 species
UCUUAUUAGAAUCCCCAAUUGAGUCCUUAUAAGUUUUUGCACAGGUAGAAGAUUGAUGUGUCAAAUUUUUAAGACAUGGCAUGGUUUAGGCCUGCGUGGAAUUUUGGUAAAAUGUAAUAAUAUAAUAUUAGGAUUUCUGAAAUGGGAUUUAGGGUUCAAUCAAAUUGAAUGGGAUUAAAAAUCUGAGAAGUGGUUGUAGAUCAGACGAAGGGAUGGAGAUUAAGUGGUGGUAGAUCUGAGAAGUGGUUGUUGAUCAAAUCCACCCCAAUUGCAUUUCAGAAAAUUGGGGAAAAUUGUUCCUGCUUCUACGCCGCGAAUGGGAGAUGGUGCACUACCGCGACGUUUCGAAAUCUCUGGAGGAGG